rnacentral:rRNA from 1 species
AACGAACGCUGGCGGCAUGCCUAACACAUGCAAGUCGAACGAGACCUUCGUGUCUAGUGGCGCACGGGUGCGUAACGCGUGGGAACCUGCCCUUAGGUUCGGAAUAACUCCCCGAAAGGGGUGCUAAUACCGGUUAAUCUCUUCGGACCAAAGAUUUAUCGCCUUUGGAUGGGCCCGCGUUGGAUUAGCUAGUUGGUAGGGUAAAAGCCUACCAAGGCGACGAUCCAUAGCUGGUCUGAGAGGAGGAUCAGCCACACUGGGACUGAGACACGGACCAGACUGCUACGGGAGGCAGCAGUGGGGAAUAUUGGACAAUGGGCGAAAGCCUGAUCAAGCAAUGCCGCGUGAGUGAUGAAGGCCUUAGGGUUGUAAAGCUCUUUUACACGGGAUGAUAAUGACAGUACCGGGAGAAUAAGCACCGGCUAACUCCGUG